AUGGUGCAGCGUCUGACGUACCGGAAGAGGCACAGCUAUGCCACCAAGUCCAACCAGACGCGGGUCGUCAAGACCCCAGGUGGUAAGCUCGUGUACCAGUACACCAAGAAGAGGGCGAGCGGCCCCAAGUGCCCUGUGACCGGGAAGAAGAUCCAGGGGAUUCCCCACCUCAGGCCUACUGAAUACAAAAGAUCAAGGUUGUCUAGGAACCGCAGGACUGUGAACCGUCCCUAUGGUGGAGUGCUCUCUGGAACUGCAGUGAGGGAAAGGAUCAUCCGCGCCUUCUUGGUGGAGGAGCAGAAGAUCGUGAAGAAGGUGUUGAAAAUACAGAAGACCAAGGACAAGACGACCUCAAAGUAA
rnacentral:rRNA from 1 species